rnacentral:tRNA from 1 species
GCCUGAGUGGCUCAGUCGGUUAAGCGUCCGACUUUGGCUCAGGUCAUGAUCUCGUGGUCUGUGGGUUCGAGCCCCGCAUCGGGCU